UCUGGGACAAGCCCUGGAAACGGGGUCUAAUACCGGAUAACACUCCUGCCCGCAUGGGUGGGGGUUGAAAGCUCCGGCGGUGAAGGAUGAGCCCGCGGCCUAUCAGCUUGUUGGUGGGGUAAUGGCCUACCAAGGCGACGACGGGUAGCCGGCCUGAGAGGGCGACCGGCCACACUGGGACUGAGACACGGCCCAGACUCCUACGGGAGGCAGCAGUGGGGAAUAUUGCACAAUGGGCGAAAGCCUGAUGCAGCGACGCCGCGUGAGGGAUGACGGCCUUCGGGUUGUAAACCUCUUUCAGCAGGGAAGAAGCGCAAGUGACGGUACCUGCAGAAGAAGCGCCGGCUAACUACGUGCCAGCAGCCGCGGUAAUACGUAGGGCGCAAGCGUUGUCCGGAAUUAUUGGGCGUAAAGAGCUCGUAGGCGGCUUGUCACGUCGGAUGUGAAAGCCCGGGGCUUAACCCCGGGUCUGCAUUCGAUACGGGCUAGCUAGAGUGUGGUAGGGGAGAUCGGAAUUCCUGGUGUAGCGGUGAAAUGCGCAGAUAUCAGGAGGAACACCGGUGGCGAAGGCGGAUCUCUGGGCCAUUACUGACGCUGAGGAGCGAAAGCGUGGGGAGCGAACAGGAUUAGAUACCCUGGUAGUCCACGCCGUAAACGUUGGGAACUAGGUGUUGGCGACAUUCCACGUCGUCGGUGCCGCAGCUAACGCAUUAAGUUCCC
rnacentral:rRNA from 1 species